UAGCUAGUUGGUGAGGUAACGGCCCACCAAGGCGACGAUCGGUAGCCGGACUGAGAGGUUGAACGGCCACAUUGGGACUAAGACACGGCCCAGACUCCUACGGGAGGCAGCAGUGGGGAAUAUUGCACAAUGGGGGAAACCCUGAUGCAGCGACGCCGCGUGGAGGAAGAAGGUCUUCGGAUUGUAAACUCCUGUUGUUGAGGAAGAUAAUGACGGUACUCAACAAGGAAGUGACGGCUAACUACGUGCCAGCAGCCGCGGUAAAACGUAGGUCACAAGCGUUGUCCGGAAUUACUGGGUGUAAAGGGAGCGCAGGCGGGAAGACAAGUUGGAAGUGAAAUCCAUGGGCUCAACCCAUGAACUGCUUUCAAAACUGUUUUUCUUGAGUAGUGCAGAGGUAGGCGGAAUUCCCGGUGUAGCGGUGGAAUGCGUAGAUAUCGGGAGGAACACCAGUGGCGAAGGCGGCCUACUGGGCACCAACUGACGCUGAGGCUCGAAAGUGUGGGUAGCAAACAGGAUUAGAUACCCUGGUAGUCCACACUGUAAACGAUGAUUACUAGGUGUUGGAGGAUUGACCCCUUCAGUGCCGCAGUUAACACAAUAAGUAAUCCACCUGGGGAGUACGACCGCAAGGUUGAAACUCAAAGGAAUUGACGGGGGCCCGCACAAGCAGUGGAGUAUGUGGUUUAAUUCGACGCAACGCGAAGAACCUUACCAAGUCUUGACAUCCUGCGACGGUUCUGGAAACAGAACUUUCCUUCGGGACGCAGAGACAGGUGGUGCAUGGUUGUCGUCAGCUCGUGUCGUGAGAUGUUGGGUUAAGUCCCGCAACGAGCGCAACCCUUAUGGUCAGUUACUACGCAAGAGGACUCUGGCCAGACUGCCGUUGACAAAACGGAGGAAGGUGGGGAUGACGUCAAAUCAUCAUGCCCUUUAUGACUUGGGCUACACACGUACUACAAUGGCGUUAAACAAAGAGAAGCAAGACCGCGAGGUGGAGCAAAACUCAGAAACAACGUCCCAGUUCGGACUGCAGGCUGCAACUCGCCUGCACGAAGUCGGAAUUGCUAGUAAUCGCAGAUCAGCAUGCUGCGGUGAAUACGUUCCCGGGCCUUGUACACACCGCCCGUCACACCAUGAGAGCCGGGGGGACCCGAAGUCGGUAGUCUAACCGCAAGGAGGACGCCGCCGAAGGUAAAACUGGUGAUUGGGGAGAAGUCGUAACAAGGUAA
rnacentral:rRNA from 1 species